rnacentral:rRNA from 1 species
CGGUUUUCGGAUUGUAAACUUCUUUUCUUAGUGACGAAGACAGUGACGGUAGCUAAGGAAUAAGCAUCGGCUAACUACGUGCCAGCAGCCGCGGUAAUACGUAGGAUGCAAGCGUUAUCCGGAUUUACUGGGUGUAAAGGGAGCGCAGGCGGGACUGCAAGUUGGAUGUGAAAUACCGUGGCUUAACCACGGAACUGCAUCCAAAACUGUAGUUCUUGAGUGAAGUGCAGAGGCAAGCGGAAUUCCGAGUGUAGCGGUGAAAUGCGUAGAUAUUCGGAGGAACACCAGUGGCGAAGGCGGCUUGCUGGGCUUUAACUGACGCUGAGGCUCGAAAGUGUGGGGAGCAAACAGGAUUAGAUACCCUGGUAGUCCACACUGUAAACGAUGAUAGCUAGGUGUGGGGGGUCUGACCCCUUCCGUGCCGGAGUUAACGCAAUAAGCUAUCCACCUGGGGAGUACGACCGCAAGGUUGAAACUCAAAGGAAUUGACGGGGGCCCGCACAAGCAGUGGAUUAUGUGGUUUAAUUCGAAGCAACGCGAAGAACCUUACCAGGUCUUGACAUCCGACUAACGAGAUAGAGAUAUGUCAGGUGCCCUUCGGGGAAAGUCGAGACAGGUGGUGCAUGGUUGUCGUCAGCUCGUGUCGUGAGAUGUUGGGUUAAGUCCCGCAACGAGCGCACCCCCUGCCAUUAGUUGCUACGCAAGAGCACUCUAAUGGGACCGCUACCGACAAGGUGGAGGAAGGUGGGGACGACGUCAAAUCAUCAUGCCCCUUAUGACCUGGGCUACACACGUAAUACAAUGGCCGUUAACAGAGGGAAGCAAAGCGGUGACGCAGAGCAAAACCCUAAAAACGGUCCCAGUUCGGACUGUAGGCUGCAACCCGCCUACACGAAGUUGGAAUUGCUAGUAAUCGCGGAUCAGCAUGCCGCGGUGAAUACGUUCCCGGGCCUUGUACACACCGCCCGUCACACCAUGGGAGUUUGUAACACCCGAAGUCAGUGACCCAACCGCAAGGAGGGAGCUGCCGAAGGUGGGAUAAGCGACUGGGGUGAAGUCGUAACAAGGUAGCCGUAGGAGAACCUGCGGCUG